rnacentral:rRNA from 1 species
GGCGAGUGAAGCGGGAAAAGCUCAGACUGAAAAUCUUCGGAAUUGUAGUCUGGAGAAGCCAGGUCAGCUUUAAGUCUCGGAUAAAGUCUCUUGGAACAGAGCGCCGUGGAGGGUGAUAGCCCCGUUCAUGUCUGAGACGAAAGGUGUACGACCGGCUUUCUAAGAGUCGAGUUGUUUGGGAUUGCAGCUCUAAGUGGGUGGUAAAUUCCAUCUAAAGCUAAAUAUAAAUGGGAGACCGAUAGCGAACAAGUACCGCGAGGGAAAGAUGAAAAGAACUUUG